rnacentral:lncRNA from 1 species
GAGCAAUAAAAAUUUUUAAUCAUCUGGGUGCAGGUGGGCUGAGUCUGAAAAGAGAGUCAGCAAAGGGAAAUAGGGAUAAGGCCAUUUUAUAGGAUUUGGGUAGGUAGUGGAAAAUUACAGUCAAAGGGGGUUGUUCUCUGGCAGGCAGGGGUGGGGUGUCACAAGGUGCUCAGUAGGGGAGCUUCUGAGCCAGGAGAAGGAAUUUCACAAGGUAAUGUCAUCAGUUAAGGCAGGAAUCAGCCAUUUUCACUUCUUUUGUGAUUCUUCAGUUGCUUCAGGCCAUCUGGAUGUAUACGUGCAGGUCACAGGGGAUAUGAUGGCUUAGCUUGGGCUCAGAGGCCUGACAUCUUCUUUCUUAAUUUCUUUCACACAUACCCCUUCCUUUCUGCUUCUAUGGCCGAUAUCCUGGUUCAGCCCCUGACUCUAUCACUUUUAACCUGAAAUAACUGCAAUAUCGCUAAAACGUAUUCCUCUUCUUGUUCUCCUCCCACCCCAAUCCUUCCUGCAUACUCCAGAACAGCUCCCCAUUCAGAAACUUUUUUUUUUUUUUUUUUCUUUUAAGUAGAGAUGGGGUUUCUCCAUGUUGGUUAGACUGGUCUCAAACUCCUGAUCUCAGGUGAUCCACCUGCCUCAGCCUCCCGAAGUGCUGGGAUUACAGGCAUGAGCCACCACGCCUGGCUGUUUCAGAAACUUAAAUGUGAGUUCCCAUUGUCUUUAAAUUCAUGUCCAAGCUCCCUGGAGUACCAAGCUUCCAAAAUUAGACCCAAAGUAAUCUUGUUAGGCAUGACUCCAAAUAAGCAUGCUGUAUAGAAACUCUUCAUUUCAGACAAGAUACUUUACUCCUAAUCACCCACACACCCCUUAGAGCCUCCUUCCUUCAGCCUUGGAUUUACGUAAGGUCGCUCUUUGCCUCCUUUUACCUCCAUCUACUGAAACUGAACCUGUUUUCCAAGGCCCAAAUCAAAGUCUGAAAUUUUCCCAUCACCUGAUAUGGAAGUUAUUUAUAAAAUUAAUAAUGAUGAUUAAAAACAAUAGCUACCAUUCUUUGGGCAUUUACUCUGUGCCAGCCAGGGUAAAUAGAACUUUUGAAGUAUUUUUUAAUAGAUUGAUUAGAUACACACUACACUCACUGCAAGGAUUCAGGUGGUGGAAAAUAAAGCAGUGAAGAUCUCUUGCUUUGCAGAAAUAUUUCUUGGAUUUCAUAUACUUUUAAGGCCAUAUUGGAAGCUGGCAAAGAUCCCACUGAGUCCUGGUUGGUAAGUAAACACAGCCUGCUUUUUAGCUUCCAGCUCUUUGCAGAGAACCAUGAUCCUCCUUUUCCUUUCUCCAGGGCUAACCCACUUCUUCCUACGCUCAGAUUUCUGAUUAUGGAGUUUCUCUCUUGUCACCCAGGCUGGAGUGCAACGGUGCAACCUCGGCUCACCACAACCUCCGCCUCCCAGGUUCAAGCAAUUCUCCUGCCUCAGCCUCCUGAGUAGCUGGGAUUACAGGCAUGCACCACCACGCCCAGCUAAUUUUGUAUUUUUAGUAGAGACAGGGUUUCUCCAUGUUGGUCAGGCUGGUCUUAAACUCCUGACCUCAGGUGAUCUGCCCGCCUUGGCCUCUCAAAGUGCUGGGAUUACGGAUGUGAGCCACCGCGCCCAGCCAGGAAGUUAUUUUCUGUAGAGAAGCUUAAAGCAUUUUAGGGUGAUUCUACAGACACAAGAAACAGGGUUAUCUUCAACUAUACGUGAGAUUUCUGUUGAUUGAUAGUUCAGAUGUCUUCUGUAAGGCCAGGCUCUCUCCUUCCAGAGUUGUCUUUUUCUCUGUCUCAAUAGCCCAUGUUUCUGAGGCCAUAUGCCUGAGCAUCCUUUCUAUUGUGGGAUGUAAUCGAUAAGCCAGUGUAGCCAGUGCUGUCCUGGUCCUGUUGGCUGGAUCCUACACUGUCUAAGAACUUCCAACAGAUGCUCCCCUGAGGCGAAGACUGGUUUCCAGAAUUCCACUCUUCUACAAGCCUGAGAAAAUUCUAAUUGCUUGACCUUCAGAACUCAGGAAGACCUUUUUUGACUGUGGUUUGUGUC